rnacentral:rRNA from 1 species
GAUGAACGCUAGCGAUAGGCCUAACACAUGCAAGUCGAGGGGCAUCACAUGAAGUAGCAAUACGGAUGGUGGCGACCGGCGCACGGGUGAGUAACACGUAUGCAACCUGCCUUCAACAAGGGGAUAACCCGUUGAAAGACGGACUAAUACCCUAUAACACAGGGGUCCCGCAUGGGAAUAUUUGUUAAAGGACAACCGGUUGAAGAUGGGCAUGCGUUCCAUUAGCUAGUUGGCGGGGUAACGGCCCACCAAGGCAACGAUGGAUAGGGGAACUGAGAGGUUUAUCCCCCACACUGGUACUGAGACACGGACCAGACUCCUACGGGAGGCAGCAGUGAGGAAUAUUGGUCAAUGGACGCAAGUCUGAACCAGCCACGUCGCGUGAAGGAAGACGGCCCUACGGGUUGUAAACUUCUUUUAUACGGGAAUAAAGUGCCCCACGCGUGGGGUUUUGCAUGUACCGUAUGAAUAAGGAUCGGCUAACUCCGUGCCAGCAGCCCGGUAAGUACGCAGCGA